rnacentral:rRNA from 1 species
CUUUUGCUGGCGACCGGCGCACGGGUGAGUAACACGUAUCCAACCUGCCCUUUACUCGGGGAUAGCCUUUCGAAAGAAAGAUUAAUACCCGAUAGUAUAAUGAUUCCGCAUGGCUUCAUUAUUAAAGGAUUCCGGUAAAGGAUGGGGAUGCGUUCCAUUAGGUUGUUGGUGAGGUAACGGCUCACCAAGCCUUCGAUGGAUAGGGGCUCUGAGAGGAAGGUCCCCCACAUUGGAACUGAGACACGGUCCAA